UAUGGGUGAGAUCAUCGAGAGUCGGAUGAUGCCCGGGCCUGUUUGAAUGCCGUGCGGUCUGAACAGCGCACCCUCACGGGCGGGGGCGGAGCCAGCUGCUUCCCGGCAAGCGGACACGAGGCCGACGUUGCAUGAUGCAUACGAAAGUGAAGUGUAUCCUGUCGGACUUUCUUGGCAGCAGAUCAAGGUGGACCUGAAAGCGGCACUCUGGGGUGUGUGUGUGCAGCGUCGAGACACAGCCCUCAUUAGCGGGCUCAGCAGCCUUCCACGACAUGCUUUAAAAAGGGUCUACAUUUCUGCCAUUGUUGUAGGUGGCAGCUGAGGGAUUUCCUGCUUUUUGGGUACCACUGCAAUUAAAGGCAAGGAAGAGGACACAGCUGGGAAAAGGUGUCUUUGAGAGAUCCUCCCUUCAGCUCAAAAUAGCGCCCCCUGGUGCUGGGAGGCAACCGACAAGUGUCCGGGGUCUUGGAUUGCCUCUGAAUUACCGUUUGUGAAGGAUGAGGGUCAGUUUCAUCGAAUCAAAUACUAUACUGACAAGACUGUGAAUCUCGUUAAUAUGAAAAACAAGCUGGAUAAACAGUACGAUUAAAUACCUAUGUAAAAUCA